rnacentral:lncRNA from 1 species
GAUGCCAAAUUAUCAGUGACGGGUGAUUGCUGCUAGUGAGGGUAGACAAGCGACUUUACAAUAGAGCAAUUGAUCAAUCUCGGCAUGACAACAGUGAACCAAUCGAGAGGUUCCUCGUACGAAUUGGUUCGCUGUUGUCAGGCCAAGAUUUACCAAUCCCUCUAUUGUAAAGUUGCUUUUCUAUCCCAAUACAUUAAUAGUUGUUAUAAAACAGCUUAUAUAUAAGCUAUAACUUUAAAUAUAUUUAAUGUUUUAUUAUGCGAACAUAUCCAAAAUAUAAUUUCAACAUAUAAUCUAUUUAAAAUUGUUAAUGAGAUAUUAUGCAUUCUUUUUUUUUUGAAUACUGUUUUGGAAAUCCACUUUGCAUUUUAUACUUACAGCAUACCUUAAUUUGGACUAGCCAUAUUUUAUCUGCUCAUCAGCUACAUGUGUCCAGAGGCUGCUGUAUGGAACCGCAUCGUUUUGGACAAAAAGAGGCCUAACAAGCAACUUUUCUUCCAGCUCCACUGGGGAAGCCUUAUACAGGUGGAAGAAUUCAGCUCUUAGUGGUUUGGAUCCAUAAACGGACAUGUGGCUAUGGCCUCCCUAAGCAUCAAUGAGACAGUGCAGCAUUUGGGGCUUGGAUAAGAGAUUGCUCUUCUUAAAGUUCUUCAGGAAAGGAGACAUUACAGCUUCAGUGACACAUUCAAGGUUAUAUGUGGAUAAUAAAAUUCUACUUUUUGUCUAGCUCAAAGAACUCUGGAUUUAAUUUAUGUGUUUCACUUCUUCUUAAAAAUUUCUGCAGACAUACCAACUUCCUUCUUCAAAGUCAAAAAAUCCUCACCAUAUAUAACCACUUAGCAAUACCUAUUUAUACAUAAAAUGUUCAUGCCCUUUGCCCCAGACAUUCCACUUCUGGAGAUUUUAUCCUAUAGAUAUACUAGUAGUAAUGUGCAAAAUACACAUAGGAUACUUUGGGAGGCUGAGGCGGGUGGAUCACGAGGUCAGGAGAUUGAGACCAUCCUG